UACGUAGGGUGCGAGCGUUAAUCGGAAUUACUGGGCGUAAAGCGUGCGCAGGCGGUUUUGUAAGCCAGAUGUGAAAUCCCCGGGCUUAACCUGGGAAUGGCAUUUGGGACUGCAAGGCUUGAGUGCGGCAGAGGAGACUGGAAUUCCCGGUGUAGCAGUGAAAUGCGCAGAUAUCAGGAGGAACACCAAUGGCGAAGGCAGCUCGCUGGAACGGUACUGACGCUGAGGCGCGAAAGCGUGGGGAGCAAACAGG
rnacentral:rRNA from 1 species